AGUGACUAAGCGUACACGGUGGAUGCCUUGGCAGUCAGAGGCGAUGAAAGACGUAGUAACUUGCGAUAAGCCCAGAUUAGGUAGUAACAACCAUUUGAGUCUGGGAUUUCUGAAUGGGGAAACCCACUUACAUAAGUAAGUAUCAUUAACUGAAUACAUAGGUUAAUGAGGCGAACCGGGGGAACUGAAACAUCUAAGUACCCCGAGGAAAAGAAAUCAACCGAGAUUCCGAAAGUAGCGGCGAGCGAAAUUGGACUAGCCCUUAAGCUUUACACGCGUUAGACGAACGGUCUGGAAAGUCCGACGAUACAGGGUGAUAGUCCCGUAGUU
rnacentral:rRNA from 1 species